rnacentral:lncRNA from 1 species
AAAAAGUUAGACUGAGAGCGAACAGAGGACACACCGAUGUUGUUUAGGCAUCCAAAAAACAAACAAAAAGAACGAAUUAGUUGCGAACAACGAGAAAAGCAUGUAGCCUUUCGUGUCCUGGCCAUUCCUAACGUCUUCAAAUUCGCGGACUGUAUACGAUUGUCAAGCGGCUGCGAGAGCUUCCCAGUCAGCGUUGUCCUGUAUGCACUAAACUAUGGGUGAAGGACUUUUGUUCUUCGAAUGUAGCGAAGGCAGCCGCGCCGGCUCCAGCCGUAGUAGAUCCCGUAAACGCCUGCCUCUUCACAAAUGGCUUCAUCAAUGUCAGGAGUAUGCGAGUAAGCGUCCCUGGUUCUUCUGUUUCGUUUUCUUUCUCUUCACUUUGCGUUUUACCAAUUGCCCUUCCUCUUGCCACUGCUACAGCUGCGUCAUUGGUAACGUAGCGAGACACAAUCGCAAACCGGUUUGCAGCCCUCAGCCGCUUCGUUCUGUCUUGCGCACAGCCCUUUACGAUGCAAAUGUUCCUCAGACGAUAACGUUUAGCUAUCCGCAGUUGGAAGAUGAAUGGGCUUGUGAACAAGUAAAUAUGCUACAUGGACUAAAUAGGGCAACGGUGAAGUCUUGAUUGCGACCACAGUGAUGACAUGAAGAGUUGCAGUCAACUCCGAGGCGACCAGGAAUGAUAGAGCCACGAAACGCGCGGUCAUGCCUUUUAUAUUUAAAUAUUAAAGUUAUAAUCGGCAAGCUGCACAAAGCACGGAUGAACCAAAACCGUAAUAACGUUAUGUACAAAGAAGGAAGAUAACAGGUAUGGUUUGGAAACAUGAAAUCAGUGUUUAUUGCCAAAUCAUGCGAUUUAUUUAAUUGACUUCAAUCAAGCGGGACAACUAUAAUCUUUCUUUGCUAUUAAAGUAAGGCCUUGUUUAAUAAAAACAAAAUUUGGGCUAGAAUUUAUUAACAGGUUUAAAGCUGUGCUCUGACUCGGGUUUUUUUUUUAGACUGGUUUAUACAAAUGACUAAGUGAGUUGCGAUUACACGAAUUUCUAAGUUUUCAACGUAUUAGCAAUACUUUCUCUCGGCCCUUUGACAAUGUUUUGAGUAACGUAUUUUUCAUCUCAGUUAUAAAUCGACCGAUGUAUAGUGAUUUAAGGCUAACUAAACUAAUAAAUAAACGAAAGUGAUAAAAACGCAGAACAUAGGAAAAUUGACUAACUUCGCCUGACCUUUUUUUUGUAUUCCUAAGCCUCAUAAUUGUUCCAAUACUUUAAACUAAGCUUGGCAUAAAGAUGCAUUCAAACAUCGACGUUGAUAUGCUACUGGAGAUUUUUUGUAAAAAACAUUGGAUAUUAGGCCAGUGUUUCCCAAAAACAGGACACAUUUUUGUAAUCGCCCUUUGAUUAAAUGGAUGUAGGGUUACUGCUACCCAGUAAUCCUACAUUCAUUUACGCUUAGUGAAUGCUUGUUGCAUUUUUGAUGAACGGGAUUUUGCUUUUAUAAUUUACAUUUCGUCUAUGUCUAGCCGGCCUACCGCCACUUUGUGGGCAGUCAAACGCGUACGAAUCGGCCAUCCUCUUUCUUAUCCUUCUUUCACUUCCAUACUGUUUGCUUUCCUUCCCCUAAUAUACAACCAUUCAUCUUAGCUCUUUUAGAGCCUUGUCUAACCUGCAUUGCAUUGCAUUGAUGCCACAUGCCAUCCUAAAAGGAAACGUGUGUAAAGUCUAACAUGCGGGGCACUUUAGGAAGCUUGCCAUUGCUUGGGCCUGGCAUGGGUCAACAGCGUUUCAACGUUUUUUUAUAGCAAGGCGUUCUUGGCUAUUAUUUUUCUGCUACACCUUAAGGUCUGAGAGCAUGGUGAUCGUAGUUGCCGCCUACACUGUUGUUGUCAUCGGUUAGUAGUCAAUCAUGAUUUGGCAGUGUCGACACUGGGAAUGCGAAAUGCGCCCGGUGUGUAGUGGGCAGGUAAGUGGCCAAAGUGAGGAGAGAACGAAGCAGGCAAAGAAACCACGAUUACGUUCCUGGUUCUUCCUAGUAGUCGAAAAGAUAUCGAUCACUUGACUACGUUGCUUGAGGACCUGAUGACGCAAUUCAGCGCUAAGCGUCGCUUUCACUAAAAACGGUCGGGCGGUACUUGCAGAGGUGUGGAUGUCGAAGAGGCAAAGUAAAGAAGAUGAAGGACUGCCGAAAAUUAGGAAAAGAGCUACUGCUUUGCUUUGCUUUGCCACGAGUGAGCUUAUUGACUACGGCAAGUCGGCCUUGACGCCCUAAGGAUAUAGUGCAGCGUGUGCCGUAUGCGGAUACCGUGGUAAAUAGAGCAUCCCAAAUCAAGAUGAAAAGAGGUAGAGACAAGUCAGAUGGUGGCUUAAUUUGUAGUGAACAAGACGCAUUAUAUUAACAAGGAGGUAGAAGAAGACAGUAGAAAAAAAGCUUUACCCCAAGCCUUUGAAUAAUCGAAAUGCUACAACACGGCGGCUUAAAUAUUGAGACAAUUCAAGUUAUACCUACUAGAACGUCGACUAAAAGCAUCCGAGAAAUGUACGGGUGUCUUUGGUUAUGGAUAGCUUAUCUCAAAGCGCUAGCUGCAGCCAAAUAUUAAGCACUAAUCUUAAAUGAGCUUUUCAGAAACCAAUGACUUUACAGAACGUAACAGCCUCGCUUCGUCACGACUCAGUGCCAUGUCGUGUACUACACAGCCAAUAUUGAACUGUUUGCAAGUGCCAUAACAAUUGUGAAAAUAGAAAUUUCAAGCGCUCGAUUAUUUCAACAUCAUAUAUAUCAAGCAAAAAUCAAUUAUCUUUUAAUUGGUUUCCUCUUUGUAUUGGAGACCCUGGGUCGACUCUUCUUACUUGAGUCCACCGAAAUUGUCUAGUUUUGAAAUAUGCUAUAGCCGCUUCUGACGCAGUUUUAUUAUCCUGUAAUGGGAUUUUGCCUUCCUUAGAUGAAAAUGUUAUGGUUAUGACGUUACCAACUUAAGGCGUUUUCGAAAACACUCACCGUCGCAAAUAUUCUAAAAAAAAAAAGGGAAUACUCCAUUGAUCAGUAUCGCAUACUCCUGAUUAUUGUCAGAUCACUGAAAGCCCACAACGUAGUAGAAGCAGUUAAAUAGUAUAACUGCUUACGCAGAGCGAUUUCGAGUUAGAAACGAUGAGUGCCCAUGGCAUGUCGGCUUUUUCGUAUGACGAGAGGCUGUGAGCUGAGCCAUACCACUGACGCAUUUGAAAAUGAUAUGGGUCUGUAUCCGAAGAUGCGGCUUCUUCAAGAGCAUUCAACGUGCAGGAGAGGUUGAAGAAGAGGUAAGCUUAAUAACGUUCGCUAGAAAUUGGUUGCGGCAGCCGACAUCGUCAAUUAACCGGAGCUCUUGCGAUUCCCAAGUAAUGAAGUACUCUUAUAUGCAAAUGAUCAUAAGGUGGUGUUGCAAUAAGAACUUUGUUAGUAUGUAGCGACG